rnacentral:rRNA from 1 species
GUGAACGCUGGCGGUAGGCCUAACCCAUGCAAGUCGAACGGCAGCACAGUAAGAGCUUGCUCUUACGGGUGGCGAGUGGCGGACGGGUGAGGAAUACAUCGGAAUCUACUUUUUCGUGGGGGAUCACGUAGGGAAACUUACGCUAAUACCGCAUACGACCUACGGGUGAAAGCAGGGGAUCUUCGGACCUUGCGCGAUUGAAUGAGCCGAUGUCGGAUUAGCUAGUUGGCGGGGUAAAGGCCCACCAAGGCGACGAUCCGUAGCUGGUCUGAGAGGAUGAUCAGCCACACUGGAACUGAGACACGGUCCAGACUCCUACGGGAGGCAGCAGUGGGGAAUAUUGGACAAUGGGCGCAAGCCUGAUCCAGCCAUACCGCGUGGGUGAAGAAGGCCUUCGGGUUGUAAAGCCCUUUUGUUGGGAAAGAAAAGCAGCAGGUUAAUACCCCGCUGUUCUGACGGUACCCAAAGAAUAAGCACCGGCUAACUUCGUG